rnacentral:rRNA from 1 species
UGAGUAUCGCGUAUCCAACCUGCCCUUUACUUGGGAUAACCCGUUGAAAGACGGACUAAUACCCAAUAUAAUCCUUUGAUGGCAUCUGAGGAGGAUGAAAGAUUUAUCGGUAUUGGAUGGGGAUGCGUCUGAUUAGCUUGUUGGUGAGGUAACGGCUCACCAAGGCUUCGAUCAGUAGGGGUUCUGAGAGGACGAUCAGCCACACUGGGACUGAGACACGGCCCAGACUCCUACGGGAGGCAGCAGGC